CAAGCACUAGCCCGACCAACCCCUCCCCAUGAGAAAAUAAACCAAAACAUUUAUCAACCAUGAAAGUAUAGGAGAUAGAAAUCUUACUCGGCGCUAUAGAGAAAGUACCGUAAGGGAAAGAUGAAAGAUGAGCUAUAAGUAAAAAACAGCAAAGAUUACCCCUUGUACCUUUUGCAUAAUGAUUUAACUAGAACAACUUAGCAAAGAGAACUAAAGUUAAGUACCCCGAAACCAGACGAGCUACCUACGAACAGCCUUACAGGGCAAACCCGUCUAUGUGGCAAAAUAGUGGGAAGAUUUGUAGUUAGAGGUGAAAAGCCUACCGAGCCUGGUGAUAGCUGGUUGUCCAGAAAAGAAUAUCAGUUCAAAUUUAAACUUUACCUAAAAAACCAACAAUUAUAAUGUAAGUUUAAAGAAUAGUCUAAAAGGGGACAGCCUUUUAGACACAGGAUACAACCUUAAUUAGAGAGUAAGAAUUAUAAGCACCAUAGUUGGCCUAAAAGCAGCCACCAAUUAAGAAAGCGUUAAAGCUCAACAACCUCAUCCGCCUUAAUACCAAAACCAAGAGCCAACUCCUAAUAUAUAACUGGACUAUUCUAUUAUUAAAUAGAAGCAAUACUGUUAAUAUGAGUAACAAGAAUUAUUUCUCCGAGCACAAGCCUAUAUCCGAACGGAUGAUCCGCUGAUAAUUAACAACAAGAUGGACAUAACCCAAAAACAAGAAAACCAUCACUCAAAUUGUUAGCCCAACACAGGAGUGCACCCCAGGAAAGAUUAAAAGAAGUAAAAGGAACUCGGCAAACAUAAACCCCGCCUGUUUACCAAAAACAUCACCUCUAGCAUCCUAAGUAUUAGAGGCACUGCCUGCCCAGUGACACUAGUUAAACGGCCGCGGUAUCCUGACCGUGCAAAGGUAGCAUAAUCACUUGUUCCCUAAAUAGGGACUUGUAUGAAUGGCCACACGAGGGUUUUACUGUCUCUUACUUCCAAUCAGUGAAAUUGACCUUCCCGUGAAGAGGCGGGAAUGCCCUAAUAAGACGAGAAGACCCUAUGGAGCUUUAAUUAACUAGCCCAAUAAAAUAAAUUACAUCAAGCCAACACAGGCCUAAUCUAACUUUAUAUGGACUAGCAAUUUAGGUUGGGGUGACCUCGGAGCACAGAAAAACCUCCGAGUGAUAAAAGCCUAGACCAACCAGUCAAAGCAUUAUAUCACUUAUUGAUCCAAAAUAUUGAUCAACGGAACAAGUUACCCUAGGGAUAACAGCGCAAUCCUAUUUAAGAGUUCAUAUCGACAAUAGGGUUUACGACCUCGAUGUUGGAUCAGGACAUCCCAAUGGUGCAGCAGCUAUUAAUGGUUCGUUUGUUCAACGAUUAAAGUCCUACGUGAUCUGAGUUCAGACCGGAGUAAUCCAGGUCGGUUUCUAUCUAUUUCAGACUUCUCCUAGUACGAAAGGACAAGAGAAGUGAGGCCCACUUCACAAAAGCGCCUUCAAGCCAAUAGAUGAUUUAAUCUUAAUCUGACAAGCUUAAACUACCACGCCCAAGAGCAGGGCUC
rnacentral:rRNA from 1 species